GACAAGGUGUAGAACAUUUGGACUCCAACUGCAGAGGUGCCUACUCAUGUAAUAGUCAUGGACUUUCAACCAAGAACACGCUGGGUUGAUUUGUGGUGUCUAAGAUGCUUAACCUGUCAGAAAACAAGUAAGAGCUAUUCCCACUAAAAAUAUGGCACCAGUCACUAGAAAAACUCCAAACAGCCUUCACCUAAUGUCCUGCUUGUAACAGACCAGCUUCAGGCUGAAGAUCUCAAGCUACCUGCUUAGCCUCCAGUCAAUGGUAAAAGCACUCAAAGACGUGGCUUCAGCAGAACAGAUAUGUAUUACCUGGAAGCACAAAGCUGAAUGCUGAUGAAGCCAGUGUUCUUGGACCUUGUAUGCAUAUGUCCACAUCUCUUCACUCCAAACAGAGCAAAGACCAUGGGGCCCAGGCUGGUCAGUAGAGUACAGAGUUACAUCCCAAAGGGUAAGCAACUACUAAGCAAAUAUUUAUGGGAAGUGAUACUUUGAUGUCAAGAGCACAGCACUCUACCCUGUGUGCUACCUGAGAUGAGUAUAACUGUUCAUCUGGAGACACAGUCUUGCCCGGCACUAAGCUCUGAAGGCCAGGGUGAGGGAGCUACAAGGAGCACCAUUUGUGAAGGUGAGGGAGCUACAAGGAGCACCACUUGUCCUCAGUCAGGCUACCCAGCUUACUGGACUCCACUUAUGUGUCAACAUCUCAUCUUUUAUUUCUACACAGUAGAAACCCCACGGGUUGCUACUCAGAAGCCAAAGAGCCCUCUUGGCCUCAAAUAAAGAGGGUACCUCAUUCAGUCUUGUAAGAAUGGUGAAUUUUAUGUCUGUGGCAAUUUAUUCAGUGGUCUCCUGACAAUCAAAUGAUCCUUUCUGUAUCUCUGUUAAGGACCACCUAGCCUAUCAAGAUCAGGAAAGUACUUUAUGACUUCAGCACUUGAAAAAGCUGUAUAAAAUAUGUGCCAUCACUGCAAGUGCCCCAGUACUGAACAGAUGCAACUGCUGUAAUGUAUAUGAGCAGCAACCUAGUCUCAAAUACAUCAAAUAAUAGCAAAUGAUGGAAGAGAGUAACCCAGAAAUAUUUAGUAAUAAAUCAAGGCAGUGUAAAACUGUGAGUCUCACCCUUCCCAUAAAGAUGUAUUUCCCAGGAAUCUUCCAAAGGAAGAUGAAGAUAAGUGCUGUGAAGCCACCAUUCACCAGUGGAUGAGUUGUUCAGAUGCAUGGUUUGAUCAGCCAGCCAGGAGAAUGCCUGCUUAGUCCCUCUGUACCUGUGAUACACUUUGCAGGACUUGUUCAGCAAGGGACAGCAAAAUCCCCCUGAUACUGUAGAACCAAGGAGAUGUGUAUGCAAAGCUGUGUAAGCACAGCAGUUCCCAGCUGUGCUGCUUUCAGAAGUUGUUCUUUACCUGCUGGGAUCCAUGGCCUUGGUCAUGCAGAUAGGUUCCCUGCAUGGUGUUUACAAACUCAACCCUUUUUUUUAAUUUUCUUUUUUUUUUUUUUUUUUUUUAAUUUCAGAAUAUCAGUUAAUUCUGCAUUAUUGCCUUAGAUACAGGCAAAGUUUGCUGUUAAGUAUUUUCAUUUUUUGAAUUUGUACUUUUUCUUAUUAGAGUACCAAUUCCUGCUGUCCCUUGGAGCACUUGUGAAGGUCAGGUGAAGCUUGAUGGAAUAGCUUGUUUUCUUUUUUUGUCAGCCACAAACACUCUGAAUUUAAAUUGAAUGAAUGUAUAAGCCAGAAUGCCUGAUGGCACAAGUGCAGUGUUUCAGGGAAAAUGAGAGAGGUGCUUGUGGUGCUCCAAGAGAGUCAGGCUGUUGGUGGAUCUGGGCACUUCUUUAGUCAUGGAGGCGAGCAGUGUUAAAUAUUUACACUUCUGUUAAGUAUUGCAUGGAUAAAAAAACCUCCAACUGUCUGGGGACACAGAACUAAGUGCUGAUGUAGCCAUGCAGAGAAGGUAGAAGUCAGUGCUUGCUUGGCCAGCUGGCUUUAAUGUUGUCCCCAAACAUGCAUAAUAGCCACCUGCAAACUCUGAAGAGGAGAGGUCCAUGGCCAUGAGCACCUGUGCUACCAGAUACACCUCCCUAGCUUUUUGCCAGCUAGUGACUCUAGUGCUAAGGCAUCUCCUGAACUGGGUUAUGGCCUGUUCUGGGGCUUUAGAUUUUUGAUCAUGCAGCUUGGGCCCCUGAUUCAACAUGGCUAAGAAAAGCACAUCAGAAGAGGUAAUUAACCCUUGUGUAACUUGUAUUUUUUCCCCACAAAUGAACUUUGCAGCAGUUCAGAAUAUGUCCUACAUUCAGAGGCUUUCUUUGAGCCUUGGUUUGAUCACAGCAGAAGAGGAAUCCUGGGCAGUGGACUCCACUGUGCAGCUGCAGGGCCAGCUGAAGCAGAAGGUAGCAGGAGAGAGAAGAGACAGGUGCUGUAGAGAAUGAUAUUGCAACCAUUGGGCUAAGUCUGGAUUCCCUCUAUGACCCUGAGGUGAACCAAAACAUACUUCAGUACGGUGAGAAAACUCUGUCAGAGACACAAACACAAAUGUUUUGCUGUUCAGCUAUUCAUCUGUAUUGUUGUAUAUGUUGACAUUCAUCCCUCUUGUUGAAAGUCAGCAUGGAUUGAUUUUUGAAAGUUUUCCAAAAUAUACUUCUCUUUGCUUCAGUUAUCCUUGUUGUCAUGAUGUGGUGGCUUGAAGAAGAGAUUCAUCCCUCUGCUGGGAAGGACUGAAAGGUCUGCCCAGCCCUGGCCUUCCAGUCAGCAGGGAAGGAGGAGGGAUGCAUGGAAGUGAUGUUGAUGUUCAUCAUGCCUUACAUGGAUUUACAAACUCAAAGCUCUGAGCCAAGGUUUCAUCAGGGAUUUUUGCUACAGACAGUUUAACUAUAGCUGUAAUCAAUAACAACUGCUGAGUAGUGAGCAGACAAGAUAUGCUGCAAAGAAAGUGGGCAAAUUUCAUCGGAACAGAGGUUGGACAGUAAAAAUGUAAAGGGAGGUUGCUGAUGCUGUGGCUCCGUGGAAUAAUUUCUUCUGAGGAAUCCCAGCCCAGCGACUGGAAACAGACCUUCCUUGUGGACAGCAGGGAACUGGAAAUGCCAGAAAGGGGCUGAGGUGAAGAAGUAAGGGAGAUGUUCUGUGCUUCUCUAACAAAACACAUGAAUGCAUUUAGUAUAAAAUCUUGUUCAACUUCUGUCCAGCUAUGUUGUCCAAUGGUUUCUUGCAGCAAACUUAUAAUCAAUAUAGCUGAGAAACAUUAAAACUCAGGCAUGAUAAUCAGAUAUUAAAACAUGUUUCUAAAACUGUCUCUCUUUAUAAAGUAUUUUCCUUUUUGGGAAAACAUCGUCAACAAGUGUCCCAGUGUGUUUUCCCCGCAGGUCUUGUGCCUGUGUAGCAGAAUCUUAGAAUCAAAAUCUAGGAUGGAAGAGACCUUCAGAGGCCAUCUAG